AUAAGGUUAAGUUAGAUUAGACUAAAUGUUUUCAAAACAUUAAGUGACUUUGUUUGAGUCAUCUUAUG
rnacentral:tRNA from 1 species